UGUGCAAAGUGCUUCGUGGGUAUUGGGUACUCAGCCCGACGCGGGCCUACAGUCUCUUGUCUAGAUCUGCUAACAACCCAGAGUUAGGUAUCAUUAUUUCCACAUUGCAGAUGAGGAAACUGAGGCUCAGAAGGUUACGUGCCUUGUCCAAGGUCAGCAGCUGAGAGCCGAGGGGAUGAACUGUGGCGUUUAGCUCAGCACUGGAGCCCGGGGAGCUUCGUGCUGGGAGAACCGCGGCAGCAGGCACGCUUCUCAGCUCUGGUCUCUGCACAGACUCUUCAGAAAAGUCAGUGCGCCCAGGCCUGUGCGGGGCGGGCGGGGCGGUGGAACUCCUGCUGCUCCUAGCUGUGUCUUCGGCUCUGCCGCUUAUCAGCUCUGGGGCCUCUGCAAGCCUCAGUUUACUCGUUUGUAAAAUGGGCUUGUGUUCCAACCUCAUAGGGUCGUGUAGAAAUGAGGUCACCCAGGCAGCGUCUGGCACAUAGUGGGUGCCCACCAACAGGCCAUUGUUCCUCUUCUAGGCACUUUCCCGAUGUCUUAUCCUAACACAACUUCCUAAAUGCAAACUGGUAUCUUGGAUUAGACCCUGGAACAGAAAAAGGAAAAACUGGUGAAAUCAAACAAAGCCUGGGGUUUAGUUAGUGGGAAUGUACCAGUAUUGGUUUGGUAGUCGUGACAAAUGCCCCACGGUAAUGUGAGACAUUAACAUUCGGGGAAACUGGGGAGGGGUAUUCGGGGACUCUCUGAGGUUUAGUACUCACUCUGCAAGUUAUAACUAUAAAGUUAUUCUAAAAGAGUUUCUAACUUGACUUCCCUCGGUCCAGUGUCUUCAAGGCCAAUGUUUUGCAAGAUGAGAAAGUAAUAAUUGCUUACAAACGAAUUCCUAGCAUACUGGUCAUCCUCAACAUUACCCUUCCCACAGUUUAUCAGGGGUUUUGGCCAUGACUAGUGCCUUAAAAUAAAGGAGAAAAUCUAAUGGAGGGACUUGGGCAGUGUGAGAACGUCUUUACUGGGGUGACAUUUGGAUUGAGG
rnacentral:lncRNA from 1 species